rnacentral:rRNA from 1 species
UGGGGAAUUUUGGACAAUGGGCGAAAGCCUGAUCCAGCAAUGCCGCGUGUGUGAAGAAGGCCUUCGGGUUGUAAAGCACUUUGUCCGGAAAGAAAUGGCUCUGGUUAAUACCUGGGGUCGAUGACGGUACCGGAAGAAUAAGGACCGGCUAACUACGUGCCAGCAGCCGCGGUAAUACGUAGGGUCCAAGCGUUAAUCGGAAUUACUGGGGGGAAAGGGUGCGCAGGCGGUUGUGCAAGACCGAUGUGAAAUCCCCGAGCUUAACUUGGGAAUUGCAUUGGUGACUGCACGGCUAGAGUGUGUCAGAGGGGGGUAGAAUUCCACGUGUAGCAGUGAAAUGCGUAGAGAUGUGGAGGAAUACCGAUGGCGGAGGCAGCCCCCUGGGAUAACACUGACGCUCAUGCACGAAAGCGUGGGGGGCAAACAGG